ACAUGCUGAUAUCAUAAUGUAUAUUGAAUAUAAUAGCUUGCUGAUGUUAUAUACAAAAAUAAUGUAAUUUAAUUUACAAAACAUGAUACUAGUUUACAAAAUGAAAUGGGCCCAACUGAGUGCCCUGUACAUGCCAUAAAAAGGGUAGACAAAGAUACAUAUUAAAAUGAGUAGCUACCCUGAAGACUGAGUCUUCUACAGAUGAACUGCAGCAGUUGUAAGCNNN
rnacentral:lncRNA from 1 species